rnacentral:rRNA from 1 species
UCGGGAAUUUUGGGCAAUGGGCGAAAGCCUGACCCAGCAACGCCGCGUGAAGGAUGAAGUAUUUCGGUAUGUAAACUUCGAAAGAAUGGGAAGAAUAAAUGACGGUACCAUUUAUAAGCUCCGGCUAACUACGUGCCAGCAGCCGCGGUAAUACGUAGGGAGCAAGCGUUGUUCGGAUUUACUGGGCGUAAAGGGCGCGUAGGCGGCGUGUUAAGUCAGCUGUGAAAUCUCUGAGCUCAACUCAGAACGGCCAGCUGAUACUGAUGUGCUAGAGUGCAGAAGGGGCAACCGGAAUUCUUGGUGUAGCGGUGAAAUGCGUAGAUAUCAAGAGGAACACCUGAGGCGAAGGCGGGUUGCUGGGCUGACACUGACGCUGAGGCGCGAAAGCCAGGGGAGCAAA